AAGAAGGAUGUGAAUGCAAGUUCCUUUUUUUUCUGCGUGUACAAGUCCACCUACCACAGGUACAGGAAACAAAGAGGGCCACCGAGAGCCAGUCAAGGAAAGGUUUAAACUGUAUCAGAAUGUUUUUUUAACUGCUCUCAAGUGUGCAAGAUUCCUCCAUUCAUUUUUAUUUUUUGCAAGUACGCUGUGAUGGUUGAAGUUGAACUAUCCUUUCAAUUUGAGUCAAAAUGUGUAGGAAAAGUACAUCUAAGCCCAGUUCUGAGAAAUACAUUCUAAAUGUGCUUUUCUGAUUGAAUGCCUGGGGAUGAACCUUUUAGGAAGUGGUUAUUGUGCUCCACCACACCCGCAACACACUUUCAUUUCAUGUUUAAGUCAGAGUUUCUGUAAGUGAGGACUGGGAGGCUGUUCCUGUUACAACGCAUGAUGAGGACUGUGAUGAUUCUCAUCAUCAAAAGUGCUUUGAUCUGGGUGCUGGCCACAGCUGAUGUGACUGACCAACAGGUGACACUUGGAGGCACCAUCAAUCUAGAAUGUGAUAUCACGGUGAAAUACGACAUCAUAUGGUUUGUCCUGCGUCCCAAUACCACACUGUCGCAGGCCACCUUUACCUUUGUAAAACAGGAUAAGAAUCUAAGAUCCACGGCCCAAUUUGGCAGCCGCUUUGUGCCUGUAUAUAACAAAGCUGUGCCAACUGUUGACCUGACCAUAUUGAACCUAACAGACAGUGACCUGGGCCUGUAUUACUGUGGCAUGUGGAGAGAUAAUGUAUUUGAGAUUGGGAAUGGGACUCAGCUCACCUUUACAGAUCAGGGUUCUACUGUGGUUGGUGUAGAUCUACCAUGGCUCAUCACUCUGAUCUUCACCCCCAUAAUCUCAGUGUUUGGGUCCUUUCUCUGUAUCCGAUACAUGCUUUAAAGGCAGCUGAUAAACUGUCCGACCAUCUGUCUGUCUGUUUUUCCACCCAGCUACCUUCUGUAUAAUCUUUUUCUCCAGAAUUUGUUCAGUUUACCACAGCCUGUGCUCUUUAAACUUCAGUGGUAAAAAAAACCCAUUUGAAUCUGAUUCAAAUCUGUGGUUGGCGGUAUGUGUUACUCUCCUUUACUAUAUUAUGUACUUUACCUGUCAACCAAAUGCACGUCAUUGGCCAGGCCCUUUUGACCAGAAUCACUAGAUACUGUAUGCAUCAGUUUGCUUACUUUUAGCUGAUACACUCCUGCCAUCUAGUGGACAUAAAUAUAAUGGUGAUUUAAACAAAUAUUUUACCUUUAUUUAACUAGGCAAGUCAGUUAAGAACAAACUCUUAUUUUCAAUGACUGCCUAGGAACAGUGUGUUAACUGCCUGUUCAGGGGCGGAAUAACAGAUUUGUACCUUGGGGAUUUGAACUUGCAACCUUCCGGUUACUAGUCCAACGCCCUAACCACUAGGCUACCCUGCCGCCCCUGACUGAGGCUGGAGCUUCUUGUGACAUUCUGCAGGCCUACCACAUAUUGUUUCUUAUUGUAAGCGCAUAUCUCCUGUCAUAAAAAACAGAACAAUUGUAAUUGUAAUAUAUCUCUUACAAAAGAAUGAGUAAUAAUGGGUUGACAUCAUCAAUUGAACUGCUUUGUAAAGUUGUAUGAUUGACCGGUAAUGAAAUUAGCUUUGCUUUUUAAUGAAUGAUCACAUUUAAAGUGGACAUGAAAGCAACAUUUAAAAUGAGUAAUUGUCUUCAUUACAACAACUGAAGCAAUGCACUUAUUCAAUGACACUUAUUCAAGUAUUCAAUGAUGGUUGUAUUGCUCAAUAAAAAACUGUUAAUAGCAAAAUAUGGUUAUAUUAUCUGACAGAAAUAGACUAAAUAUGUAGAAAUACUGCAUGUAUUUGUAAUUAAGAAUAAAAGGGAUAGUUCACCCAAAU
rnacentral:lncRNA from 13 species